GGAGAGAUGGCCGAGUGGUCGAAGGCGCCUGACUCGAAAUCAGGUAUACGGCAACGUAUCCAGGGUUCGAAUCCCUGUCUCUCCGCCA
rnacentral:tRNA from 1 species